GGGCGAUGUUUGAUCAUGGCUCAGAACGAACGCUGGCGGCAGGCCUCAAACAUGCAAGUCUAGGGGGUGUAGCAAUACAUCACCGGCGGACGGGUGCGUAACACGUGGGAAUGUACUUACUGGUUCGGAACAACUGCGGGAAACUGCAGCUAAUACCGAAUAAGCCCUUACGGGGAAAGAUUUAUCGCCAGUAAAUCAGCCCGCGUUCGAUUAGCUAGUUGGUGAGGUAAUGGCUCACCAAGGCUCCGAUCGAUAGCUGUUCUGAGAGGAAGAUCAGCCACACUGGGACUGAGACACGGCCCAGACUCCUACGGGAGGCAGCAGUUGGGAAUCUUGGACAAUGGGGGAAACCCUGAUCCAGCCAUGCCGCGUGAGUGAUGAAGGCCUUCGGGUUGUAAAGCUCUUUUACCCGGGAAGAUAAUGACUGUACCGGGAGAAUAAGCUCCGGCUAACUUCGUGCCAGCAGCCGCGGUAAUA
rnacentral:rRNA from 1 species